rnacentral:rRNA from 1 species
AUCCUGGCUCAGGACGAACGCUGGCGGCGUGCCUAACACAUGCAAGUCGAACGGAACUGUUUUGAAAGAUUUCUUCGGAAUGAAUUUGAUUUAGUUUAGUGGCGGACGGGUGAGUAACGCGUGAGUAACCUGCCUUCAAGAGGGGGAUAACAUUCUGAAAAGAAUGCUAAUACCGCAUGACAUAUCGGAACCACAUGGUUUUGAUAUCAAAGAUUUUAUCGCUUGAAGAUGGACUCGCGUCCGAUUAGUUAGUUGGUGAGGUAACGGCUCACCAAGACCGCGAUCGGUAGCCGGACUGAGAGGUUGAACGGCCACAUUGGGACUGAGACACGGCCCAGACUCCUACGGGAGGCAGCAGUGGGGGAUAUUGCGCAAUGGGGGCAACCCUGACGCAGCAACGCCGCGUGAAGGAUGAAGGUUUUCGGAUUGUAAACUUCUUUUAUUAAGGACGAAAAAUGACGGUACUUAAUGAAUAAGCUCCGGCUAACUACGUGCCAGCAGCCGCGGUAAUACGUAGGGAGCAAGCGUUGUCCGGAUUUACUGGGUGUAAAGGGUGCGUAGGCGGCUUUGCAAGUCAGAUGUGAAAUCUAUGGGCUCAACCCAUAAACUGCAUUUGAAACUGUAGAGCUUGAGUGAAGUAGAGGCAGGCGGAAUUCCCCGUGUAGCGGUGAAAUGCGUAGAGAUGGGGAGGAACACCAGUGGCGAAGGCGGCCUGCUGGGCUUUAACUGACGCUGAGGCACGAAAGCGUGGGUAGCAAACAGGAUUAGAUACCCUGGUAGUCCACGCUGUAAACGAUGAUUACUAGGUGUGGGGGGUCUGACCCCUUCCGUGCCGGAGUUAACACAAUAAGUAAUCCACCUGGGGAGUACGGCCGCAAGGUUGAAACUCAA